rnacentral:piRNA from 1 species
UUUGAAGUCCUAGCAAUUUUA